AAAAUCAUGGAUAUGUUUAAGUGAUUUGGAAGUCUUUACCCUAUUCUUUCAGUAUUUUACUCUAGAUAUUUGGAAUCCUAAGAUAUUUUGAAAUUUGGUCCCUUUAAGUUUGAGAUUACGAGGUUUGACUGUGUAUAUAUAUGUAUAUAUAUGUAUUUAAUCUUAUAGAUGCAUGGACAAGCAGUAUUUAAUGUUACAGAAGCAGGAACAAGCAGUAUUUAAUCUUACAGAUGCAUGGACAAGCAGUAUUUAAUCUUACAGAUGCAGGGACAAGCAGUAGCCAACCUUACAGAAGCAGGGACAAGCAGUAUUUAAUCUUACAGAUGCAGGGACAAGCAGUAUUUAAUCUUACAGAUGCAUGGACAAGCAGUUUUUAAUCUUACAGAUGCAUGGACAAGCAGUAUUUAAUGUUACAGAUGCAUGGACAAGCAGUUUUUAAUCUUACAGAUGCAGGGACAAGCAGUAUUUAAUGUUACAGAUGCAUGGACAAGCAGUAUUUAAUCUUACAGAAGCAGGGACAAGCAGUAUUGAAUGUUACAGAUGCAGGGACAAGCAGUAUUUAAUCUUACAGAUGUAUGGACAAGCAGUAUUUAAUCUUACAGAUGCAGGGACAAACAGUAGCCAACCUUACAGAAGCAGUGAUAAGCAGUAUUUUGUCUUACAGAUGCAUGGACAAGCAGUAUUUAAUUUUACAGAUGCAGGGACAAGCAGUAUUUAAUCUUACAGUUGCAUGGGCAAGCAGUAUUUAAUCUUACAGAUGCAUGGACAAGCAGUAUUUAAUCUUACAGAUGCAGGGACAAGCAGUAUUUAAUCUUACAGAUGCAGGGACAAGCAGUAGCCAACCUUACAAAAGCAGUGAUAAGCAGUAUUUUGUCUUACAGAUGCAUGGACAAGCAGUAUUUAAUGUUACAGAUGCAGGGACAAGCAGUAUUUAAUGUUACAGAUGCAAGGACAAGCAGUAUUUAAUCUUACAGAUGCAGGGACAAGCCGUAUUUGAAGUUACAGAUGCAGGGACAAGCAGUAUUUAUUCUUACAGAUGCAGGGACAAGCAGUAACCAACCUUACAGAAGUAGUGUUUUAUCUUACAGAUGCAGGGACAAGCAGUAUUUAUUCUUACAGAUGCAGGGACAAGCAGUAUUUAAUCUUACAGAUGCAUGGGCAAGCAGUAUUUAAUCUUACGGAUGCAGGAACAAGCAUUAUUUAAUCUUAUGGAUGCAGGGACAAGCAGUAUUUAAUCUUAUGGAUGCAGGGACAAACAGUAUUUAAUCUUAUGGAUGCAGGGACAAGCAGUACAGUAACCAUAAUCCUACUGAAGCAGGGACAAGCAGCACUUAAUCCUACAGAAGCAGGGACAAGCAGCACUUAAUCCUACAGAAGCAGGGACAAGCAGCACUUAAUCCUACAGAAGCAGGGACAAGCAGUACUUAAUCCUACAGAAGCAGGGACAAGCAGCACUUAAUCCUACAGAAGCAGGGACAAGCAGCAGCAAUCCUAAAGAAGUGGUAGCCAAUCCGAAGAUUAAGAUGAGUGUAAGCAAGAGUACAGAAAUCUAAAAAGGGUAGAGAGUUAUACUGGAAACCAUGUUUCAGAGCAGACUGUCAUGAUUCAACUAGAGUGCCAGGAGUAAGGAUGAACAGUGGCCUAACCUAGAAGUGAGGAGUAUUAGAUUGUCCACCAUCACCAGUUUUACAUUGUCCAGUUAGACAGAAAAAAGUCCAGACCAGAAGGAUUUACUGCGACAACCAACCAUGCUAGGGGCAAGAGGUUGGAUUGCCUAGACCCUGCAGUGAAGAAGAGUGUAAACUGAGGCCUACCUUGAAAGAUA